rnacentral:rRNA from 1 species
GACGAACGCUGGCGGCGUGCUUAACACAUGCAAGUCACGGGGGCCCGCAAGGGCAACCGGCGAACGGGUGCGUAACACGUGAGCAAGCUUCCGAUUAGUGGGGGAUAGCCGGCCCAACGGCCGGGUAAUACCGCAUACGUUCACUGGACGGCAUCGUCUGGUGAGGAAACCUCCGGGGCUAAUCGAGGCGCUCGCGGCCUAUCAGCUAGUUGGCGGGGUAACGGCCCACCAAGGCUAUGACGGGUAGCUGGUCUGAGAGGAUGGCCAGCCACAUUGGGACUGCGACACGGCCCAGACUCCUACGGGAGGCAGCAGUGGGGAAUAUUGCGCAAUGGACGAAAGGCUGACGCAGCGACGCCGCGUGUGGGAUGAAGCUCUUCGGGGUGUAAACCACUGUUGCCCGGGACGAACCUCCCCUUUCGAGGGGACUGACGGUACCGGGUGAGGAAGCACCGGCUAACUCUGUGCCAGCCGCCGCCGUAACAC